rnacentral:rRNA from 1 species
UACGGAGGAUCCAAGCGUUAUCCGGAUUUAUUGGGUUUAAAGGGUGCGUAGGCGGCCUGGUAAGUCAGGGGUGAAAGACGGUAGCUCAACUAUCGCAGUGCCUUUGAUACUGCCGGGCUUGAAUGCAGCUGAGGUAGGCGGAAUGUGACAAGUAGCGGUGAAAUGCAUAGAUAUGUCACAGAACACCGAUUGCGAAGGCAGCUUACUAAAGUGCGAUUGACGCUGAGGCACGAAAGCGUGGGGAUCAAACAGGAUUAGAUACCCUGGUAGUCCACGCCCUAAACGAUGAACACUCGAUGUUGGCGAUAUACGGUCAGCGUCUAAGCGAAAGCGUUAAGUGUUCCACCUGGGGAGUACGCCCGCAAGGGUGAAACUCAAAG